ACUGCGAAUGGCUCAUUAUAUAAGUUAUCGUUUAUUUGAUAUUGCCUAUCCUACAUGGAUAACAGUGGUAAUUCUAGAGCUAAUACAUGCUGAAAAUCCCGACUUCGGAAGGGACGUAUUUAUUAGAAUCAGAACCAAUGCCCUUCGGGGUUCCUUGGUGACUCAUGAUAACUCCACAGAUCGCAUGGCCUUGCGCCGGCGAUGGCUCAUUCAAAUUUCUUCCCUAUCAACUUUCGACGGUACGGUAUUGGCCUACCGUGGUUGUAACGGGUGACGGAGGGUUAGGGCUCGACCCCGGAGAGGGAGCCUGAGAAACGGCUACCACAUCCAAGGAAGGCAGCAGGCGCGCAAAUUAUCCAAUCCCGACACGGGGAGAUAGUGACAAUAAAUACCGAUACAGGGCUCUUUUGGGCCCUGUAAUUGGAAUGAGUACAAUUUAAACCUCUUAACGAGGAACAAUUGGAGGGCAAGUCUGGUGCCAGCAGCCGCGGUAAUUCCAGCUCCAAUAGCGUAUAUUAAAGUUGUUGUGGUUAAAAAGCUCGUAGUCGAACCUCGAACCUGGCCGGCCGGUCCGCCUCACCGCGUGCACUGGUCUGGCCGGGUUCUUCCCUCUGCGGAACCGCAUGUCCUUCACUGGGCGUGUCGGGGAGGCAGGACUUUUACUUUGAAAAAAUUAGAGUGCUCAAGGCAGGCCAAUGCUCGAAUACAUUAGCAUGGAAUAAUAGAAUAGGACGUUGGUUCUAUUUUGUUGGUUUCUAGGACCGCCGUAAUGAUCAAUAGGGACGGUCGGGGGCAUCAGUAUUCAGCCGUCAGAGGUGAAAUUCUUGGACCGGCUGAAGACUAACUACUGCG
rnacentral:rRNA from 1 species